AUCCCUAAAGUUCCCAUAGCAAACUGCUCAGUAACACAUGAUCAACUUGCCCUAUAGUGAGUCGUAUCAUCGGGAAACUGAGGAUAAUGGCUCAUACUUGAUUAGGCUUGGAAAAGUUUUUCAAUGAAAGGCGUAAGAAAAAUGGUUCUUAUGCGCCAUAGGAUAGGAUCGUGCUCGAUUAUGGUAGUUGGUGAGGUAACGGCUCACCAAGCCGAUAAUCGAUAGGGGCCGUGAGAGCGGUUGCCCCGAGAUGGGUACUGAGACAGCGACCCAGGCCUUACGAGGCGCAGCAGGCGCGAGACCUCCGCAAUACACGCAAGUGUGACGGGGUUACCCAAAGUGUCCUUAUUGGACUGUGGCGGGUGAGUAAUGUUCCCCGCUAGAAAGGAGAGGGCAAGGCUGGUGCCAGCCGCCGCGGUAAAACCAGCUCUUCAAGUGUUCAGGACUUUUAUUGAGCUUAAAGCACCCGUAGCGGGCCUCGCAAGUCCCCGGUUAAAUCCACGUGCUCAACCCGUGGCCGGCUGGGGAUACUACAAGGCUUGGGAGCGGGAGAGGCAGCGGGUACCCAUGGGGUAGCGGUGAAAUGCGAUAAUCCCAUGGGGACCACCGGUGGCGAAAGCGCGCUGCUAGAACGCGUCCGACCGUCAUGGGUGAAAGCCUGGGUAGCGAACGGGAUUAGAUACCCCGGUAGUCCAGGCUGUAAACGAUGCCCGUUAAGUGUGGCACUAGCCAAGAGCUAGCGCCGUGCUGCAGCGAAAGCGUUAAACGGGCCGCUUGGGAAGUACGAUCGCAAGGUUGAAACUUAAAGGAAUUGACGGGGGAAUACCACAAGGGGUGAAGCCUGCGGUUUAAUUGGACUCAACGCCGGGAAACUUACCAGGGGCGAUAGCUGAAUGAAGGACAGACUGACGAUCUUUCCUGACUGGCUAAGAGGUAGUGCAUGGCCAUCGCCAGUUCGUGCCGCGAGGUGUCUUGUUAAGUCAAGCAACGAACGAAACCCGUGCCGCUAAUUGCAACCGUUGGCGUUAUGACGCUCCGGGCACAUUAGCGGGAUUGCCGCUGCUAAAGCGGAUGAGAGAACGGGCCACGGUAGGUCAGUAUGCUCCGAAUCCACCUGGGCCACACGCGGGCUGCAAAGGCAGGUACAAUGGG
rnacentral:rRNA from 2 species